rnacentral:rRNA from 1 species
AGCCGAGCGGUAGAGAUUCUUCGGAAUCUUGAGAGCGGCGUACGGGUGCGGAACACGUGUGCAACCUACCUUUAUCAGGGGGAUAGCCUUUCGAAAGGAAGAUUAAUACCCCAUAAUAUAUUGAAUGGCAUCAUUUAAUAUUGAAAACUCCGGUGGAUAGAGAUGGGCACGCGCAAGAUUAGAUAGUUGGUAGGGUAACGGCCUACCAAGUCAAUGAUCUUUAGGGGGCCUGAGAGGGUGAUCCCCCACACUGGUACUGAGACACGGACCAGACUCCUACGGGAGGCAGCAGUGAGGAAUAUUGGACAAUGGGUGAGAGCCUGAUCCAGCCAUCCCGCGUGAAGGACGACGGCCCUAUGGGUUGUAAACUUCUUUUGUAUAGGGAUAAACCUACUCUCGUGAGAGUAGCUGAAGGUACUAUACGAAUAAGCACCGGCUAACUCCGUGCCAGCAGCCGCGGUAAUACGGAGGGUGCAAGCGUUAUCCGGAUUUAUUGGGUUUAAAGGGUCCGUAGGCGGAUCUGUAAGUCAGUGGUGAAAUCUCAUAGCUUAACUAUGAAACUGCCAUUGAUACUGCAGGUCUUGAGUAAAGUAGAAGUGGCUGGAAUAAGUAGUGUAGCGGUGAAAUGCAUAGAUAUUACUUAGAACACCAAUUGCGAAGGCAGGUCACUAUGUUUUAACUGACGCUGAUGGACGAAAGCGUGGGGAGCGAACAGGAUUAGAUACCCUGGUAGUCCACGCCGUAAACGAUGCUAACUCGUUUUUGGGUUUUCGGAUUCAGAGACUAAGCGAAAGUGAUAAGUUAGCCACCUGGGGAGUACGUUCGCAAGAAUGAAACUCAAAGGAAUUGACGGGGGCCCGCACAAGCGGUGGAUUAUGUGGUUUAAUUCGAUGAUACGCGAGGAACCUUACCAAGGCUUAAAUGGGAAUUGACAGGUUUAGAAAUAGACUUUUCUUCGGACAAUUUUCAAGGUGCUGCAUGGUUGUCGUCAGCUCGUGCCGUGAGGUGUUAGGUUAAGUCCUGCAACGAGCGCAACCCCUGUCACUAGUUGCCAUCAUUCAGUUGGGGACUCUAGUGAGACUGCCUACGCAAGUAGAGAGGAAGGUGGGGAUGACGUCAAAUCAUCACGGCCCUUACGCCUUGGGCCACACACGUAAUACAAUGGCCAGUACAGAGGGCAGCUACCAGGCGACUGGAUGCGAAUCUCGAAAGCUGGUCUCAGUUCGGAUUGGAGUCUGCAACUCGACUCUAUGAAGCUGAAUCG